UUGAACUUUUAAUAAUUGUUGUAGAUGACCUAAAAGGAAUAGAAAUAUGAAGAAAUCUGUUAUGAGGAUGACAGAUCCUCAUCCUCAUCACGCUGAGGAUGGCAUGCCACUGAAAUCUGGUUAAAAAGCAGAAAAGUUCCAUGGAGGGCUCUAAACAGGACUGAAAAAAGGCCAAUAUAUUAAAACAGGAAACAAUACAUGGUGCACAAUGAGAAAAGAGAAAGUGACUGAAGAUUUUGGAAAAGUCUAACUUCAUCUGUCAUGCAAAAAUAGGUGGUCGUUCCUUCUGCUUCUACAUAACAGCAUGGGAUCCUAUAGUUGGAAUGAGGUAUCAGAAGAUCUAGUGGUUCGGUGUGCUUUUGUUAAAUGGCAAGUUUUUAGAGAGGACCAAAGGCCUGCCUGGAGGGUUUCAGAGGUAGAGGGAAGGAAAACUGGCAACUGUCUGGCAACUGGUGUCAGCCUACCUACAAAUAACCUGCUUACUGCUGAGAUUCAACUGUAUGGUAAUUGCAGCAUAACCAAUUCAUUCAAGUCUUGGAGAAGUGCUUUUGUCAUUUUUAAUCUAAAUAAAUCCCUUCAACUGUUAGGGGAAAAUGCAGUAUUGUUUUGGGGUGUGUAUUUUUUGAAAAUGUAUGCAUUUUUCUGAAUCUCCAGGUAGAUUGCUUAACCUCUGCAGUUCAGUAACAUAAGCAAACCUUUUUAACUGGCAGCAGCACUGCCCUGGAGGCGCAUCUUCUGCAGAACUAACACAGCUUCUGCCGGGUAUAACAGGACUCGCUCAGGCUUCAGCAGUCCCUCUUCUGGUGAGUGUGUGAACAGCUAUUCCACGAGUUCAGGUAGACAUUCCUUUAUUUUUAUCCCGAUACUCUUUGUUGGAUUGAUUGACUUCUGCUGCAAUGCAUGCAUUCUAUCUCCAAGCUUUAUGAGCGCCCUAACACAUUUAUCUCUGCAUUUUCUUCUUUAAAAGAAGGGUGUUGUGUUUUAUAAAAUCACAGAAGAAUGUUCUGCACAAACUUUUCUGAUUUGUAGUACUUAUUUCUGGGUGAGGAAGUGGAAGUGAGUUGAUAGUGGUUGCAGGCUACUCCAUUUACUAAAGCGCAUAUAAGUAUAUCCUGGUUUCAGUUAGGACAGGGUUAAUUUUCUUCCUAGUAGCUGGUAGAAUGCUAUGUUUUGGCUUAGGAUGAGAAGAGUGCUGAUAACACAGCCCAAAGUCAUUGCAACCUUUUUUGUUCUCUCUAUUUAGUCUUAUCACUAGGUAUUUUAACUAAUAAAGAUUGAAAAAGAAGGCUCUAGAGUUAAUAUAGAGGAAUAUAUUUCCUUGUAAGAAAGGAGGAGAAGGAAGAUUCCUGAACAUUGAGAAUGGCUUUGUCAGAUGAUCACACUGUAGAAACAUGUGAAUGUUAAAUCUAGUUUUAAUAUAGCAAAACAGCAGUACCCAAUACACCUAGUAAGCAAACUUUUUUCAGUAAAUACUUCUGUCCUUAUUCCAUCUCUGUACAAUGGAUGUAUCUGUACUAUAAAGCAUUUGUGUUCUACAUUUUCUUGUUUCAGUGACAUACAGUUCUAUGUCCAGGUAUCUCUGAACCUCUGGUUUCUACUUUUAGCCUUAGAUAUCAAAGUUCCUAAUUGAAUUUGUGAGAUAAUUUUCUUUCCUUAUUAUGGUCUUCUAUUAACCUUUCUCAUUUCUCUGAGAUUUAUUAUCUAUCCUUUGCUUGCCAGUGGUUGGAAUACGUUUGCCUUGAGAGGUCUGGUACAGUAAGAGGGGUAUGAAUUCUACUCACAUUAAUUCUUCAAUGACUUUACUAACCUUUUUCAUUCAUUUUUUACUUUCCUGAUCCUUUUUUAAGAUGGAGAUUAAUUAUGCAUAUCAGCUUUAUCAAAAUCAAGCCUAAUCAGUCACAGUUUUGUAGUGUGUAUAGAUGAUACACAUAACAAAAAAACAAACAAACAAACAACAACAACAACAACAAAAAAAGCCUCACUCUCUGUGAGGGAGAAAGAAAAAAUAAGAGUAACAUUGUAGUGAUGUAGUAAGUAUAGUUUUACUGUACAGUAAAACUGUAAUAAGAUGUUAUAUUAUUGAAAUAUUAUGCUGAAAAUAUACUCUGUCAUUUUCACAAAAAUGCUCUCCUAUUUGGAAGAAAAUCUCCACACUUGUUCUUGACCCGUACAUGUAUUUUCAUAAAACCGGAGAAACCCAAAUUACUUCUGAUUUAUGUAAGCACU